CUUUGGCGCGCUCGCAGCUUGCCGGGCUCUGCGAUCCCUCCAGUGGGCGUCUCCCGGAGCAGCGUCCCGCCUGCCCACUGAGCAGCUCUCAGCAGGGUGAGCUGGCCCCUCUCCCUGCUCUGCCUUUUUUCAACUUCGGCGAGGUCGGGAAGUCCGUUCAUGCAGAGUUACCAAGGUUGUCACGUUGAGAUGCUGGACUUGAAAUCUGGAGUCCUGCUUCCUGUGGCUAGAUAAUCCUGGGUCUGUGCGUCUUAUAAAUGGAAAUGAAAGGACCUGCCUUUCCUGUUGUUGAGGUCAUCGGGAAGAUCAAGUAAGACAAUGUUCUGUAUGGGGGAAAUGCUCUAAAAACUGAAAGCUGUGUUGUGUUGGUUCAUUUUCUCCAAGAUAUCCAGGAGGCAGAAGAUUGAAAUGGUUCAGGGAUGGAAGGUAAUAGGUAAAAGGUUUCCAGACCACCUGUCUGGAAAAAAUCCUUCAAGCAAUUAGGUAAUAGUCACUGACUCAGAGAAUUCACUUUCUUUUAAGUCACAAAUUACACUAUUAGUGCUCCUGAUGAGAAAGAAUGUUGACUGAACCUAGUGUCUGGGUAUUGCAAAAGUGGUUUGUUGGCCACAGCCUAGUAAUUUUGUGGCUCUUGGCCCUACACACUUGAGCUUUUAGGUUUUUUUCAGGAGAGGAAAUCUGCAAUACAGGCUCACCAAUAUCUCUGUGGAGGUUCUUAUUCCAGGAGAUAGGGUGGUGGCCUCUCAGGAAAUCAUCUGUGUCAGACAAUCUGAUCCAAUUAUAAAACUAUAUCCAAUUAUCCAAAUUAUAAAAAUAACCUCUCAAGUUAUGUUGGUGGAUACAGUUGGAAGAUAUUAUUGUUCAGUGACAACAGUACCAAUUAUCCAUAUAUAUCAAAUGUAUAUAUGCUUGAUACAUAGAUGUAUGUUUAUAUGUAUGCAUCUGGCCAUUCUAUGUAUCAUGUGUCAAUCAAUCAUCUAUCUAUCUGUCUAUCUAUCUAUCUAUCUAUCUAUCUAUCUAUCUAUCAUCCAUCUAUCUGUCUCUCGCUGGUUGUGCUGGAUGCCAUGGGGCCUGGAAAGCAGGAAAAAAAAAUGUUCAUUGCAGAUUGUAGAACCAGUCCCUUUGUUUAAUCCAUAUAGUUUUAAACAUGUUUUUGACUUAAUUUAACUGGUUUUAUAUACAAAGGAAAGCAGGACUAUUACAUAUGAGGCACUACUCAUAUGCCUCACUGGACCUGCUAUUAAAUUACCCCAUAGAGAGUAAAAUAAUUGUGGUCUUAAAAUAUGAAAAAGAAAACACAACAGACAAUAUUUUAUGUGGCACCUUGUGCUUUUUCUUAGAGCAAUUUACAUUUUCUCUGUACUUUUUGUAUUAUUAAGACUUACCUUUUCCCUCUUACUCUUUGUAGACUUCAGUUAACAAAUUUUAGGGGUGAAAUAAUGAAAAAAAUAAGGAAGUUGUGCAUACAUAUCCUGGAAUAAUCAUUCUCUUUCAUUUACCAAUCUUCUUUCCUUUCACUUCAUAAUUCCAGAUAUUUGAGAAGUACUUCAGUUCAUGGAAGCAGCUAUCUCCUUCACUUACUAGCAGUAAGACUUUGUUUUCAUCUUCGAGUUUCAAAUUCUUCACUGUAAAAUCUUGGUGAUUAAACACAAUGCAGUUGCUGCAAAGAUUAUAUAAAUGGUUGUUUAAAUUUCUGGCAUUUUAUCGGUGUUCAAAACAUUUUCUUUUUUUCAUACAUGUAAAUCCUCCAAAUUACCAGCUAUUUUACCAUUAACAUUUUCCCUUCCAAU
rnacentral:lncRNA from 1 species